GGAAAGGAAGAAGACGAAGGAGA
rnacentral:sRNA from 1 species